rnacentral:rRNA from 1 species
ACGGCAGCCUUACCAUGCAGUCGAGCGGUAACAGAUCUAGCUUGCUAGAUGCUGACGAGCGGCGGACGGGUGAGUAAUGCAUAGGAAUCUGCCCGAUAGUGGGGGAUAACCUGGGGAAACCCAGGCUAAUACCGCAUACGUCCUACGGGAGAAAGGGGGCUCCGGCUCCCGCUAUGGGAUGAGCCUAUGUCGGAUUAGCUAGUUGGUGAGGUAACGGCUCACCAAGGCCACGAUCCGUAGCUGGUCUGAGAGGAUGAUCAGCCCCAUCGCGACUGAAACACGGCCCGGACUCCUA